GAUGAAGAACGUAGCGAAAUGCGAUACGUAAUGUGAAUUGCAGAAUUCAGUGAAUCAUCGAGUCUUUGAACGCACAUUGCGCCCCCUGGUAUUCCGGGGGGCAUGCCUGUCCGAGCGUCAUUGCUGCCCUCAAGCACGGCUUGUGUGUUGGGCCUCCGUCCUCCUCCCGGGGGACGGGCCCGAAAGGCAGCGGCGGCACCGCGUCCGGUCCUCGAGCGUAUGGGGCUUCGUCACCCGCUCUUGUAGGCCCGGCCGGCGCUUGCCGACACAUCAAUCUUUUUUCCAGGUUGACCUCGGAUCAGGUAGGGAUACCCGCUGAAUUUAAGCAUACAAUAAGCGGAGGA
rnacentral:misc_RNA from 1 species